rnacentral:rRNA from 1 species
UACGGAGGGUGCAAGCGUUGUCCGGAUUUAUUGGGUUUAAAGGGUGCGUAGGCGGUUCUUUAAGUCUGGGGUGAAAGCCCGUUGCUCAACAACGGAACUGCCCUGGAAACUGGAGGACUUGAGUACAGACGAGGGUGGCGGAAUGGAUGCUGUAGCGGUGAAAUGCAUAGAUAGCAUCCAGAACCCCGAUUGCGAAGCAGACGUGC